GCCUAUGGCCAAAGCAUCCUGAAAGCGCCCGAUAUCGUCUGAUCUCGGAAGCUAAGCAGGGACGGGCCUGGUUAGUACCUGGAUGGGAGACCGCCUGGGAAUACUAGGUGUUGUAGGGU
rfam:Xenopus tropicalis strain Nigerian scaffold_1360_contig_5, whole genome shotgun sequence.